AAUUCGGCUGUGUGACCAGAAGGGGUGGAGCCUGGCUGCACCUCUCUUAGACCUCAUUUAAGUGCUGACUGCCCCUGGGGAAGGGUCUCUUUCUGGAGAUCCCUCCUUGGUGGAUUUUUCCCCUCUGAACCUGGAAUCUUCUGGUAUGGAAAGAGCUCAGCACAAAUGUGACAGGGGCUUGAAUGUCCCUGAUGCUGUGAUGGGGGGUGGGACCCCAGUCAGCCCUGUCCUGGCAGUGUGACCCCUGGAGGAGGUAGAGAGGUUGUGGUGCAGCAUGGGAGAGCAAUGUGCACCUGCUGGAGGAGGAGAAGAAAAUGGGGAGCCCCAAACUGCUGGAGUGUUAAUGAACUCUGGUGCUUCUGGUGUCUCCUGUGUUUGUUUUUCCUUGCUGAGCCCAACCGUAAAUAUAAAGCAAAUAUAAAUGCUUAUGUACCAGUAAUGUCUUGUUUUCCCUCUCUCUUCCCAAAGUCACCCUGCUGUACUGUGAACCCCCAACAUAUUGUUAAUUAGGAAUGAAUCAGUGUGCCUCUGAUUAAAAUCCUUCCUACUUCAUGGCUUUUAACUAACUACAGUGUCUCUGGGUUUGUGCCAGCUUUGGUUUUAAACCUUUGAAGAAUCUCUAAUCCGCACAGCACAGACCAGCCAAUUAUUUUUUGUUAUAAACAGUAAAUAUCUAUCGAACAUAGAUAUUUUUGUUGCAGAUAAGGAUGCUCCUUGAGGAGCUCAGUAUCCUUCUCCAUAAUUUGCUGGGGUAGAAAAUACCUGAGAUGUACUUUAAUCAACUUUGUACUGUGUGGG
ensembl:lncRNA